AAAUGACGGGGAUCCUCACCGGCCGCUGUUCUCCUCCUCGCCUUCCUCCAAGUCCUAGACAUCCCUUCAAGGAUGGCCUCCGGGGUAGAGGACAUGGCGUGGGAACCCCUUAGAGAAAAAUUGGGGGGCUGAAGAUGGCAAGGACCGGUGCGGGAGAAGUAGCUGAGUAGCUAGGCUCUCAGGCGAAAGAAAGGUGCCGUCUUCUCGGCAGAAUGAAACCCC
rnacentral:lncRNA from 1 species